UACAGAGGUCUCAAGCGUUGUUCGGAUUCAUUGGGCGUAAAGGGUGCGUAGGUGGCGCCGUAAGUCGGAUGUGAAAUUUCGGAGCUUAACUCCGAAACUGCAUUCGAUACUGCGGUGCUUGAGGACUGGAGAGGAGACUGGAAUUCCCGGUGUAGUGGUGGAAUGCGUAGAUAUCGGGAGGAAUACCAGUGGCGAAGGCGGUUACCUGGAGCUUUGCUGACGCUGAUGCGCGAAAGCGUGGGGAGCGAGUCCGG
rnacentral:rRNA from 1 species